GAUUGACGAAAGGUUCAGAGCAGGAAUUGUGAAACGGCUCCUGGCAGCAGCCUGAAUCUACUCUGCACUCUGUCAUGAUGCCAUUGCCUGGGACUUACGAAUUUUGCUUGUACAAGAUUUAUUAUCUUAUUUUAAACUACAGAAUUCCAAAACACAAGGCAAACCCGGGCCCAAAGGUCUUUGUAGAAGUGGUAGCAGCUGAGAAGGGGACGUUCAUAAUGGCACAUGGGAAAUUGGAGGCGUGUGGAGAGAAAACAGACUGUGGGGUCUGAAGACCUGGAACUGUGUACCAGUCCUAUAGUUAACAAGCUCAACCUAUCAGCUGAGGAAUAAGUAGGUUUGGACUAGGCCUGGGCUUCCCAAAGAAACAGCCUGACACUGCUGAUCUGGGAUUUGUGAACAUUCCAUAAUAUUGACUCACGUAAUGACAUGUUAAUCCUUUUCUUCAAUUUAUGUUCAGUACUUUUCUUGCAUUAUAUCAUGGAGAAAGCUUCAAUUUUAUGCUGGUAUGUCCUUAACACCUUUCUAUCCUUGAUCUUAGCCAAAAGGUUGAGAAGCAGUCUUCAACACCUUUCUAAUCCCUCACUGAUUUUCCUUUUUUAACAGAGCAAACCUCAGGCUCAGACCCUUUGGCAGGCAGCAGUAUCUAGCUGGAAUUUAAAAAUCACUCCCCUCACCUCCCGCGGCAUUUGAUGUUAAGGUCACUACUAAUUAUGGCAAGUGAUCCUGCUAUUCCAUUUACA
rnacentral:lncRNA from 1 species